rnacentral:lncRNA from 1 species
ACUAUUCUAAACCUUUACUAAAUUUACCCUCACAAAGUUUGUCUACAUGCUCAAGCACUUAGGCUCUUCUAGGGUUUUACACUUUUCUUUCCUCUUCCCGAAACAAUAUGAGGUAAGACCAUCUCCAACCAUGUUGGGGCUAAACUCAAAUUUCCACCCUCCAAAAUACAACUAUUCAUGUAUUUUUAGGACUCAAAUUUUUUUUUUCCUCCAACCUUGCAAACUCAUAAUUUGAGUCCGCAAUUUUAUUAAAUUGUUUAAGAAUGAUUAACCCC